rnacentral:tRNA from 1 species
GGGCGGGGAGCUCGGAGGACGAGUACCAGAUAUCUAAUCUGGAGGACGUGGGUUCGAAUCCCACCCUGCCGU